rnacentral:RNase_P_RNA from 1 species
GGGUAAUUGCGUAAGGCUAACUUAUGAGGAAAGUCCGAGCUCCGCAGGGCGGGAUAACGGCUAACGGCCGCCGGGGGUGACCCUCGGGAAAGUGCAACAGAAAUAUACCGCCGCACUCGGUGUCUUGUUCAUUCCAAAGGCACUUAUGCGGUAAGGGUGGAAAGGCGAGGUAAGAGCUCACCGGCUUAUUUGGUAACAAGUAAGCCCUGUAAACCCUAUCCGGAGCAAUGUCGACUAAAGUGGCUUGCCCGGCCUAUACUUUGAAGGACAGCUGGAGCCGUGCAGUAAUGUACGGUCGAGAUAGAUAAUUACCUGAAAAACAGAACUCGGCUUACAGGUGCA